AAAGUUCUGAGGACUCGAGGAGGAGGUAAAAGCUCUAAAGAAGCCAUUAGCGUAUUCGAGUAGGAGCAGUAGACUGAUCACUUCAGUAAGGAAAAGUCAGGAGUGGACUUGUUCAGUUCAGCAAAAGAGAAGUCAGAGAUGCCGCCUCGCAAGUUUCAACCCAAUGCUUUUGUCUGUCAUGACUUACCAAUGACCCGCGACAACUUCACCUAUCUUGGCAUUGUAGAAGGACCUCAGACUCAUCUGAUUCUUGCGUGGUCUCCUUCUGGUGAUCUACGCAAUUUUUGGGCGCCGUCUGUUCGUGCUUUGGAGAGGUUGGUUGGGCCUCAUAAUGUUCAAGACUACCGCCUUGCUAUUGAUCAAGAUCGCAGCUUUGCAUUCAUCCUAUGCCCUGAUCAUGUUGAUGCUGAGAAAUUGAGGGGUAGGUAUGUCACUGUUGGUGACACCAAGUUUUUCUUCGAGUUAGUGAAAAGUGUUGUCAAGAUGCCUUUCUACGACGACACCAACCAGCACCUAAGGGCCUGCAACUGGAUUGGAGAUUAGUUUUAGUUGGAUAGUAGUUUCAUUGGUAUGUUAUUUUGGUUGGAACUAUCUCAGAGUUGGUGAGGAAAAGACCUACUGUAGUUGGUGGAAACUGUUAUUUCUACUAUCUACUUUUGCCAAGUAA